UAGUCUUAUCUACUCCCACAGUCACCCC
rnacentral:piRNA from 1 species